AUUUAGAGGAAGGAGAAGUCGUAACAAGGUUUCCGUAGGUGAACCUGCGGAAGGAUCAUUGUCGAAACCUGCCCAGCAGAACGACCCGCGAACCAGUGACUCGAACGCGCGGCGGGGGCCCUGCGCCCUCGUCCGCACGGCCGGGAGACGGCCUCGUGCCCCCCUCGGCCACUAACAACGAACCCCGGCGCGGCACGCGCCAAGGCAUACAUAACGAGAGAUGGCGACCCCGCCGCCCCGGGAACGGUGAGCGCGCGGGGCGCUCUGUCUUGAGAUACGAACCAAAACGACUCUCGGCAACGGAUAUCUUGGCUCUCGCAUCGAUGAAGAACGUAGCGAAAUGCGAUACUUGGUGUGAAUUGCAGAAUCCCGUGAACCAUCGAGUCUUUGAACGCAAGUUGCGCCCGAAGCCUUCGGGCCGAGGGCACGCCUGCCUGGGUGUCACGCACCGUCGCCCCCCCAGACCACGCAGUGGUGCCGCGCGGGGGCGGAUAAUGGUCUCCCGUGGGCCUCGACCGCGGUUGGCCCAAACGCGAGUCCCCGGCGACGAGCGCCGCGGCAUUCGGUGGUUGAGAGACCCUGCUAUACCGCCGUGCGCGCCCCGUCCCACUGUGGGAUCUCCCGGACCCCUAGCUACACCGACGCGACCCCAGGUCAGGCGGGAUUACCCGCUGAGUUUAA
rnacentral:misc_RNA from 1 species